rnacentral:rRNA from 1 species
AAAUUGAAGAGUUUGAUCAUGGCUCAGAUUGAACGCUGGCGGCAGGCCUAACACAUGCAAGUCGAGCGGUAGCACAGAGAGCUUGCUCUCGGGUGACGAGCGGCGGACGGGUGAGUAAUGUCUGGGAAACUGCCUGAUGGAGGGGGAUAACUACUGGAAACGGUAGCUAAUACCGCAUAAUGUCGCAAGACCAAAGUGGGGGACCUUCGGGCCUCAUGCCAUCAGAUGUGCCCAGAUGGGAUUAGCUAGUAGGUGGGGUAACGGCUCACCUAGGCGACGAUCCCUAGCUGGUCUGAGAGGAUGACCAGCCACACUGGAACUGAGACACGGUCCAGACUCCUACGGGAGGCAGCAGUGGGGAAUAUUGCACAAUGGGCGCAAGCCUGAUGCAGCCAUGCCGCGUGUGUGAAGAAGGCCUUCGGGUUGUAAAGCACUUUCAGCGGGGAGGAAGGCGUUAAGGUUAAUAACCUUGGCGAUUGACGUUACCCGCAGAAGAAGCACCGGCUAACUCCGUGCCAGCAGCCGCGGUAAUACGGAGGGUGCAAGCGUUAAUCGGAAUUACUGGGCGUAAAGCGCACGCAGGCGGUCUGUCAAGUCGGAUGUGAAAUCCCCGGGCUCAACCUGGGAACUGCAUUCGAAACUGGCAGGCUAGAGUCUUGUAGAGGGGGGUAGAAUUCCAGGUGUAGCGGUGAAAUGCGUAGAGAUCUGGAGGAAUACCGGUGGCGAAGGCGGCCCCCUGGACAAAGACUGACGCUCAGGUGCGAAAGCGUGGGGAGCAAACAGGAUUAGAUACCCUGGUAGUCCACGCCGUAAACGAUGUCGAUUUGGAGGUUGUGCCCUUGAGGCGUGGCUUCCGGAGCUAACGCGUUAAAUCGACCGCCUGGGGAGUACGGCCGCAAGGUUAAAACUCAAAUGAAUUGACGGGGGCCCGCACAAGCGGUGGAGCAUGUGGUUUAAUUCGAUGCAACGCGAAGAACCUUACCUGGUCUUGACAUCCACAGAACUUUCCAGAGAUGGAUUGGUGCCUUCGGGAACUGUGAGACAGGUGCUGCAUGGCUGUCGUCAGCUCGUGUUGUGAAAUGUUGGGUUAAGUCCCGCAACGAGCGCAACCCUUAUCCUUUGUUGCCAGCGGUUAGGCCGGGAACUCAAAGGAGACUGCCAGUGAUAAACUGGAGGAAGGUGGGGAUGACGUCAAGUCAUCAUGGCCCUUACGACCGUGGCUACACACGUGCUACAAUGGCAUAUACAAAGAGAAGCGACCUCGCGAGAGCAAGCGGACCUCAUAAAGUAUGUCGUAGUCCGGAUUGGAGUCUGCAACUCGACUCCAUGAAGUCGGAAUCGCUAGUAAUCGUAGAUCAGAAUGCUACGGUGAAUACGUUCCCGGGCCUUGUACACACCGCCCGUCACACCAUGGGAGUGGGUUGCAAAAGAAGUAGGUAGCUUAACCUUCGGGAGGGCGCUUACCACUUUGUGAUUCAUGACUGGGGUGAAGUCGUAACAAGGUAACCGUAGGGGAACCUGCGGUUGGAUCACCUCCUUACCUUAAAGAA